GAUUAACGCUAGCGGCAGGCCUAAUACAUGCAAGUCGAGGGGCAGCAGGGUGUAGCAAUACAUCGCUGGCGACCGGCGCACGGGUGCGUAACACGUAUGCAACCUACCUUUAACUGGGGAAUAGCCCUCCGAAAGGAGGAUUAACACCGCAUAACAUCACGAGACGGCAUCGCCUUGUGAUCAAACCUCCGGGGGUUAAAGAUGGGCAUGCGUCCGAUUAGCUAGUUGGCGGGGUAACGGCCCACCAAGGCGACGAUCGGUAGGGGGUCUGAGAGGAUGAUCCCCCACACUGGUACUGAGACACGGACCAGACUCCUACGGGAGGCAGCAGUGGGGAAUAUUGGGCAAUGGGCGAAAGCCUGACCCAGCCACGCCGCGUGAGUGAUGAAGGCCUUCGGUUGUAAGACUCUUAGUUCCACGAUUAUAAUGACUGUAGUGGAAGAAUAAGACCCCGGCUAACUUCGUGCCAGCAGCCGCGGUAAG
rnacentral:rRNA from 1 species